CCUACGGGCGGCAGCAGUGGGGAAUAUUGGACAAUGGGGGGAACCCUGAUCCAGCCAUGCCGCGUGUGUGAAGAAGGCCCUCGGGUUGUAAAGCACUUUCAGUGAGGAAGAACGCCUGGUGGUUAAUACCCAUCAGGAAAGACAUCACUCACAGAAGAAGCACCGGCUAACUCCGUGCCAGCAGCCGCGGUAAUACGGAGGGUGCGAGCGUUAAUCGGAAUUACUGGGCGUAAAGCGCGCGUAGGUGGCUUGAUAAGCCGGUUGUGAAAGCCCCGGGCUCAACCUGGGAACGGCAUCCGGAACUGUCAAGCUAGAGUGCAGGAGAGGAAGGUAGAAUUCCCGGUGUAGCGGUGAAAUGCGUAGAGAUCGGGAGGAAUACCAGUGGCGAAGGCGGCCUUCUGGACUGACACUGACACUGAGGUGCGAAAGCGUGGGUAGCAAACAGGAUUAGAUACCCGUGUAGUA
rnacentral:rRNA from 1 species